CUAACCGUUAGGCUAACUCGUCUUAAGAGCGGACGCUUAGGCAGGUAAACGGAGGAAUGAGGUGUUUCCAUUGCAUUUAUCUGAGUUAUCGCCUCAGCAUGUGGAAGCAUACCGACUGCUAGAGGACAGGAAACACAAACUCUCACCUGAGACUGCUGCCCUCUACCUGCUUCGACAACAGCACAACUAUUGGAGACUGAGAUCAGCAGGAAGAGAAAGGAGUGUGAAGUCCUUGAGGAGGAGGUGAAGAAAAAGAGCCAGUCAUGUCAAACUCUGGUGAGAGCCUUUACAAGUUCACAUCUUACGAGAGGGUCUCACAUGCUGGGUGUCAUAUCAACAC
rnacentral:lncRNA from 1 species